rnacentral:rRNA from 1 species
GAUGAACGCUAGCUACAGGCUUAACACAUGCAAGUCGAGGGGAAACGAUAUUGGAAGCUUGCUUCCGAUAGGCGUCGACCGGCGCACGGGUGAGUAACGCGUAUCCAACCUGCCCAUCACUUGGGGAUAACCUUGCGAAAGUAAGACUAAUACCCAAUGACGUCUCUAGAAGACAUCUGAAAGAGAUUAAAGAUUUAUCGGUGAUGGAUGGGGAUGCGUCUGAUUAGCUUGUUGGCGGGGUAACGGCCCACCAAGGCGACGAUCAGUAGGGGUGCUGAGAGGAAGUACCCCGACAUUGAAACUGAGACACGGUCCAAACUCCUACGUGAGGAAGCAGUGAGGAAUAUUGGUCAAUGGACGAGAGUUUGAACCAGCCAAGUAGCGUGCAGGAUGACGGCCCUAUGGGUUGUAAGCUGCUUUUAUAAGGGAAUAAAGUGAGAGUCGUGACUCUUUUUGCAUGUACCUUAUGAAUAAGGACCGGCUAAUUCCGUGCCAGCAGCCGCCGUAA